UCCACGGGUCUGAUGAGUUCCUCGGCAGAUAUUGCUAAAUGGAUGCUGAUGCAGCUGAACGGCGGUAAAAUGAGAAUGGUGAUGUGGUUAUAGAUCCAGCCGACCUCGCCCAGACCCACUCACCACAGACAGCAUUAAGAUCGUCUACCGUGGAGAGAAACUUCCAUAAACCAAAGGCGCCUUUCACAGUCACGGACACAACUUACGCUUUUGGAUGGAAAAACGGAUUUUAUAAAGAAUACAAGAUGUUACGGCAUACUGGAACAACAUACGGGUACUCCUCCUUAAUAACUCUACUGCCGGAUGCAAACCUUGGUGUGUUCAUAAGCAUGACAGGGGAAAAUGAAGGUUAUAUAACCCGUACUCUUAAACACAGUUAUCUUUUGGACACGUUUCUCGGCGUAGAGCCCACAAUUAAUGUGACAACAGUUUGUACAUACCCCGAGCCCUGGUACAGAAGUAGUCAUUCCUUGAGGGCGCCGAUAGACAAGACUAUACAACCAACAAGGUCACUUACAGACUAUGUGGGAUCGUAUCACCAAAUAGCGUAUGGUGACAUAGUGAUCAGAAUGAAUGCAACUGUGAACCAGUUACAGGUUUGUUCACGUUAUUCUCUCGCUUUGUGUCUCCUUAACCCUUACUCUGCUAAAUUUCUAUAAUGAACUCGUCCAUCUUUCAAUUUGGACAGUACCAUUAACUGUUAAAGGGGGUGCUUACCAAAAAAUACUGACUGAAUGGCGAACAGUGCAGAUCAUGAUCGGACUGCACGGAUUUGCAGGCUGGUCAUGAUCUACACUGGUCGCAAAGGCAGAACCAGUCGUGUUUAGCUUGAUAAGGGUUAAGAUUUUCUUUUAUAUAAACAAAGAAGGAUUUUACCGUUUAUUGUCUUGUCGAUUAAAACACGUUUUCGUAAAGCGCCAAGGGAAGUAAUAUGGCCAUUUACUCCUAAAUAAGGAUUCCAGAUUAGUAUCCCUUCCUGGUGUAAUUCGAACGAUGGCUUUCUUGGCAAAUAAAACACGACUUUUCGUUCAGAUGCGUCGUAGUUAAUCACUCGAGCCUUCGGCCUUUGUGAU